CCUACGGGGGGCAGCAGUCGAGAAUCAUUCACAAUGGGGGAAACCCUGAUGGUGCGACGCCGCGUGGGGGAAUGAAGGUCUUCGGAUUGUAAACCCCUGUCAUGUGGGAGCAAAUUAAAAAGAUAGUACCACAAGAGGAAGAGACGGCUAACUCUGUGCCAGCAGCCGCGGUAAUACAGAGGUCGCAAGCGUUGUUCGGAAUCACUGGGCGUAAAGCGUGCGUAGGCUGUUUCGUAAGUCGUGUGUGAAAGGCGCGGGCUCAACCCGCGGACGGCACAUGAUACUGGGAGACUAGAGUAAGGGAGGGGGAACCGGAAUUCGUGGUGUAGCAGUGAAAUGCGUAGAUAUCGAGAGGAACACUCGUGGCGAAGGCGGGUUCCUGGACAUUAACUGACGCUGAGGCACGAAGGCCAGGGGAGCGAAAGGGAUUAGAUACCCCAGUAGUC
rnacentral:rRNA from 1 species